rnacentral:lncRNA from 1 species
GCAAUCAGCGAGACUCCGUGGGAGUAGGACCCUCCGAGCCAGGUGUGGGAUAUAAUCUCGUGGUGCGCCAUUUUUCAAGCCCGUCAGAAAAGCGCAGUAUUCGGGUGGGAGUGACCCGAUUUUCCAGGAGUCCUAACCUAAAAUAAAAUAGAACAUACUGUGCUUAAAGCAAGGGGGGAAUCAUGUAACAAUAAAACCAGUGAAGAAAAUUCUAAUGCUCAGGUAAGGCCUCAGAAAAAGUGGAAAACAGCUGGUCCUCAGGAUCCUCCAGCCUUUGCCAAGGAAAAGUGGUUUUAAUCACUGAAGAAUGAGGCUUCAACAUAUGGAAAGACUGUAAGUGUCUUGACACUGAAAUUUUCUCUUGUAGGUGUUCCUGGACAGCAAGUGAGUGACUUGCUCACAGGCGGUAAUUCAGGGACCCAGGUUUCUUCUACCUGGUAGCUCUACUGUCCUUCAGAACCUCAGAGCCCUGUGCAUUCAGCCAGCAGGAGAAAGACCACUACUAAGGUCAUUCACUUUGGGAGAAGCCAGUCUUCAUGCCAUGAGGACGUUCAGGCAGCCCUGUGGAGAGAACCACAUGGAAAGGAUCUGAGGUCUCUCACCAGCACCAAUUUGCCAGCUAUGGGAAUGGGCCACCUUGGAAGGAGACUGUCCAGCCCAAGUGAAGGCUGCAGAUAACUGCAGCUUUGGCCAACAUUUGGCUAUAUUGCUUUGGGAAAUCUCAAGCCAGAACCAUCUGGCCAAGCUGCUCUUAAAUUCCUGAUCCACAGAAGUUUUGGAAGGUAAUAAAUGUUUAUUGUUUUAAGGCACCAAGUUUCAGGGUGAUUUGUUACCAGUAAUAGAUAACUAAUAUGUUUGGCAAAAUGGCUACAUGUCUGUCAUUCAGAGAAGCUUCUGCAAUAAGAGGCCUUCCAUUGUGCAGGAAACUGACCUACCUGGCUUUGCUUUUCUAGGGGUGGUGGCCAUAGACCAAGUGUGAGGUUGUUGAUCAGGGUUAGAGCUGUGAUCAUGAAGGAAAAA